CUUGCGCGUUGGGUUGGAGUCUUGCAUGUACCAACGGUACAGGAUCUCCAGCUGCUCGGGCAGGAUGGUGAUGAGGCAGCCAAGAAACAGGUUGAGUGAGCUGCUAACUGUAACACAACUCCAAGGAGGGGAAACCAGAGGACUGGCGGGGCACAGAGACCUGGGCCCUCCAUCUACCUGGAUCGUCUCUCAGACCCAGGAAAGGCCAAAUGAGCCUCCAGAGGUCUAGCAGUCAGAAUUCCGGGGCUCCCUCCAGCUACGAGAAACGCCAGGCCUCCCACGCUGUUCCCAGCCUUUUUACCUUGAUUACCACACCUUCCUCCCCCUCCGCAACCCCCCCCACCCCGCUUCCCGUCCCCACCAAACUCACCAGUUCCCCAUGCUUCACCAUCCCAUACUUUUCCCAAUGUCCCAAGUGGUUUGCGUCCACUCCAGGUCUUAAUUAUCAGCCAAUCUCUAAUGAUUAAACCUUUAGCGUUCAAGCCCAUGCUU